GACAAAAACUGUUAUAAAACAAAACCCAGUUACUUCAUAGCCGAUCAGGAAAUAUUGGACAUAGUUACCAGUUCAGAAGAGUGUAGACAGUAUAUAAAAUUUAGAUGUUUUGGUGUAGUUUUAACAUUCGGGUCUUGGAUUGCUCGCGAUGGAGAAGUCAUGACAUACUGGGGAGGAUCGACAUCAAGAAGAGCUGGGUAUUGCGCUUGUGGAGAAACAAACUCGUGUGAACCAAAUCAUUUAGGCAAUCGAGGAAAAUGCAACUGUGACAAUAAUCAAUUGCUGCUUACCCAAGACGAAGGGUAUUUGACUGAUAAAACCAAACUACCAGUUCAGGAACUUCGAUUUGGUGACAUGGGGGGGACACCUGAAACUGCCAGUAUCAGUCUUGGAAAACUGGAAUGUAUGGGUUAAAAAAGAAACCUUACAAAAUGACCUGUUUACUUUUAAUCUUAUGCUCAUGCUAAAUAGUUGCAAACACUUCUUUUUAAAUCUUCAAUUUUGGGUGAUUUAAGCGGUUAUAAUACUAUAGCUGUUAUAUAAUACAUAAACUACAUUUAAAUAAGUAAUUGUUUCAUUAGAGUUGUUGAUGAUUGCACAAUAGUCUACUCUGAUUUUUCGUUAAAUUGUUGUUAAGGAGACCGCUUUUUUUGAGAAGAGACUUUUUUUAUUGCCCCUCAAUUAAAUCAAUAAUCAAUUGCCCGAUUUUUGAUUUCUAAUAGUUGAAAGUGGAUGAAUGUCUAUCAAUUUAAAUUUUUCAAUUUCAAACUCCCAGGAUAUAUUCAAUACAAAACUUUGUUGUUCCAUCUUAGUACAUAGUAAAACCUUUCACAAUACUAGAAAAUUUUAUUUGUCUCGCCUGUUCUCCCAAAUUUUCAGUAUAUUCGGUCUCAGUUAAGAUCCCACU